rnacentral:tRNA from 1 species
GCGGGAGUGGUGGAAUUGGUAAACACGCAGGAUUUAGGUUCCUGUGCCCCGGCGUGAGGGUUCGAGUCCCUCCUUCCGCACGA